rnacentral:rRNA from 1 species
GAUUAACGCUGGCGGCGUGCAUAACACAUGCAAGUCGAACGAUGAAACUUUACUGACUUCUUCGGAAUGAUUUAAAGCGGAUUAGUGGCGAACGGGUGAGUAACGCGUGAGUAACCUGCCUUACACAAGGGGAUAGCCUCUGGAAACGGAGAAUAAUACCCUAUGAAACCAGACAAUCGCAUGAUAAUCUGGUCAAAAUGUUUAGUGGUGUAAGAUGGACUUGCGUCUGAUUAGCUAGUUGGUGAGAUAAAAGCUCACCAAGGCAACGAUCAGUAGCCGGCUUGAGAGAGUGUACGGCCGCAUUGGGACUGAGACACGGCCCAGACUCCUACGGGAGGCAGCAGUGGGGAAUUUUGCACAAUGGGGGAAACCCUGAUGCAGCGACGCCGCGUGAUUUAGAAGGCCUUCGGGUUGUAAAAAUCUUUUGUAUAGGAAGAAAAUGACAGUACUAUACGAAUAAGGACCGGCUAAUUACGUG